GAUGAACGCUGGCGGCGUGCCUAACACAUGCAAGUCGAGCGGACGGACGAGAAGCUUUCUUUUUUGAUGUUAGCGGCUGACGGGCGAGUAACGCGUGCAUAACCUACUUAUAUGUCUGGGAGAAUUUCGGGAAACCGGUGCUACUACCGGAUCAUACUUUCUACCGCAUGGUUCAAAAGUGAAUGACGGUCUUGCUGUCUCUUAUAGCUGGAUCCGCGCUGCAUUAGCUACUUGGUAAGGUAACGGCUUACCAAGGCAACGAUGCGUAGCCGACCUGAGAGGGUGAUCAGCCACACUGGAACUGAGACACGGUCCAGACUCCUACGGGAGGCAGCAGUAGGGAAUCUUCGGCAAUGGGCGAAAGCCUGACGGAGCAACGCCGCGUGAGUGAAGAAGGUCUUCGGAUCGUAAAGCUCUGUUAUUAGGGAAGAACAUAUGUGUAAGAAACUGUGGACAUCUUGACGGUACCUAAACAGAAAGCCACGGCUAACUACGUG
rnacentral:rRNA from 1 species